AUUAUCAACAUUCAAAUCAUGAACACCUCAAAAGUCCCUCUUCCAAAACCCAUUUAAUACCCCUGUAGUUUGAUCAUUUAGGAAAGCAAUUUCAGCAUCAUUUAGAACAAGCAGUCUAAGAAAAAAAAAAUUGACCAACCAGUAAUAUAUGGGAAAUACAUUGUCAAUACUUCAUAAACUACACUAAAACAUUGAAUGAGUAACCAACUUGUAAACAUCACAUCUUCAAUUGCAGUAAUAUUUUGACAGGCUUGCUAAAAUUUUGCAUAUGUUCUCUCUAUCUCCCUCCUCUGUGAACUUUCCAUCCUCUACAACCAUCUCCUUAACAAAGCCUUACUAAAGAUCUCUUAUUUUCUAUUACUAAACCCCUUUUCCAGUCAACUGAAUGGUAUUAACUCAUCAUCCAAUAAACUCUCCCCAAUCCUCCGAAAAGAAAGUUGAACUAAAUUUCCCUUGAAAACUCUUUAACCCAUUGUUGCAGAAGUUGAAACAUGAAAUAAGAACAUAAAAUAUGUAGAUAAAUGGGGCAAGGUGCUAUCGACCAAUAAUUGAAGGGCCCCAACUCUUCAUGCUUCUGUCCAAUUUCUUCUAAAGAGCCUACAAAUAAUUAGCUGUAAAUGAAGAAG
rnacentral:misc_RNA from 1 species